CCUACGGGAGGCAGCAGUGAGGAAUAUUGGUCAAUGGGAGAGAUCCUGAACCAGCCAAGCCGCGUGAGGGAAGACGGCCCUAUGGGUUGUAAACCUCUUUUGUCGGAGAACAAAACCCGGGACGAGUCCCGGACUGCGUGUAUCCGAAGAAAAAGCAUCGGCUAACUCCGUGCCAGCAGCCGCGGUAAUACGGAGGAUGCGAGCGUUAUCCGGAUUUAUUGGGUUUAAAGGGUGCGUAGGCGGUCUGUUAAGUCAGCGGUAAAAGUGCGGGGCUCAACCCCGUCGAGCCGUUGAAACUGGCAGACUUGAGUUGGCGAGAAGUACGCGGAAUGCGCGGUGUAGCGGUGAAAUGCAUAGAUAUCGCGCAGAACUCCGAUUGCGAAGGCAGCGUACCGGCGCCAGACUGACGCUGAGGCACGAAAGCGUGGGGAUCGAACAGGAUUAGAUACCCUUGUAGUC
rnacentral:rRNA from 1 species